CCCCAGACUCCUACGGGAGGCAGCAGUGGGGGAUAUUAGACAAUGGGGGGAACCCUGAUCCAGCGACGCCGCGUGAGUGAGGAAGUAUUUCGGUAUGUAAAGCUCUAUCAGCAGGGAAGAAAAAAUGACGGUACCUGACUAAGAAGCACCGGCUAAAUACGUGCCAGCAGCCGCGGUAAUACGUAUGGUGCAAGCGUUAUCCGGAUUUACUGGGUGUAAAGGGAGCGCAGGCGGUACGGCAAGUCUGAUGUGAAAGCCCGGGGCUCAACCCCGGUACUGCAUUGGAAACUACCGGACUGGAGUGUCGGAGGGGUAAGUGGAAUUCCUAGUGUAGCGGUGAAAUGCGUAGAUAUUAGGAGGAACACCAGUGGCGAAGGCGGCUUACUGGACGAUCACUGACGCUGAGGCUCGAAAGCGUGGGGAGCAAACAGGAUUAGAUACCCUGGUA
rnacentral:rRNA from 1 species